rnacentral:lncRNA from 1 species
ACAGAUCUUCGGCAUUUCAAAGGCAGCCCUGAGGUAUCUGGAACCUGGUUCCAGGAAUGCUGAGGGGCACAACGGGUCAGACAAGCCAGGAUCGUGCAAGAGGGUGGGGGCAGGACAGCAUCCGUGUCACGAGAGGGUGGGGCAAGGGUUGAGUCCCCACGCGGGACUGGUCCUGUCUGGCAGACAAGACAAGCCGUGGCAGCACUCUUCACAGCCCUAAGCAGUGACAGCACCAAAGGAGCGGCUCAGCGGGGUUCGAAUCCCCCCAUAACCUCCAGGAGUCCCCCCAAAGCCGCCCCAAGGAAGCAUAUGGUUUUUCCCAGGUAGCUUUCAAGACAAGUUAGCUUCCAACCCGCUUGCUGCUCCCAAAUUCCUGCUAAACGGAAACUUCGGGGCGUCCCCGCUCCAGGAAAGCCCUGGGAGAAAGAAGUUCCUGUUGGAUUAAAGCCUUACAUUUGGGAAGUUAGCCCCUCUCUUCGAGCCUCAGUUCUCCCUUUGGUAAGUGGAGAUAAUAUUAGCUGCGUUUCUUAGGGUUACUGAGAGAACCGAGUACGAGGACUGUGUAUUUCAUCGAUUCUAAGACCCUCAUUUUUUUUUUUUUAAGAUUUUAUUUUUUCCUUUUUCUCCCCAAAGCCCCCUGGUACAUAGUUGUAUAUUCUUCGUUGUGGGUCCUUCUAGUUGUGGCAUGUGGGAUGCUACCUCAGCGUGGUUUGAUGAGCAGUGCCAUGUCCGCGCCCAGGAUUCGAACCAACGAAACACUGGGCCGUCUGCAGCGGAGCGCGCGAACUUAACCACUCGGCCACGGGGCCAGCCCCUAAGACCCUCAUUUUUUCAUAUAUUAUCUGUGAAAUUGGCAUGUGCCUUACAAUCAAUGGCAUCUUAUAUUCGGUACAUAUGUAAAACAAUGCUUUCCUUUGACUUCGACGCCCUCCCACCUCUAGAGGGGCCAAUAGCGCCCCCUGCUGCCUCCACCGGCGCACUCCAUCCGGCCCCGGUUCCCAGAGCCGCAGGUUUUGGGAUCUUCCCCUCCUCUUGUCCCUCCAGCUGAGGGGAAGUAACAGUUGGACUGUCACCAGCCCCAGGAGUACCAGUGGUGUCCCUGCAUCGUGCUCACUCUGAGUAAAUGGUCCGUUCUUCAAAUCCUCCUUGCGAGAUCCUAAUUUGAGUGUGCCAUCUGUUUCCUGCUAGAACUCAAGCACUGUGCUUUUCUGCACCACACCAUUCUGGAGCUACAAAUGGGGUCACGUGACUAUUUC